UCUCUAGUUGGCCUCUGCGAGUUUGGCGCCUAUAGUCUGUGGUGUACUUGUACCUGACGGGAGUUUGCUACCACAGAUUUUGGUAGUUUAUAAAAAUCUUUUCCCUUCCAAGUAAGGAGCGACGACUCUUAUUAUGUCUGAGCAUCCACCUCUAACCUCUAACGUUUAUUUCACACUGUUUGAUUAAACAUUUUUUAAGGCAUAGCCUUGAAAAAAGAACCGAUCACCGAGAAGUUUUGCUUCCCUUCGGUUAGAUCGAAGUAUUUGAGUGCUCUUGCCCGGCAAGUUUACUUUGAAAAAAUUAGAGUGGCUCAAAGCAGGCCAUUAGCCGGAAUACUUCAGCAUGGAAUAAUGGAAUAGGACUUCGGUUCUAUUUUGUUGGUUUUCGGAACCCGAGUAAUGAUUAAGAGAGACAGACGGGGGCAUUCGUACUGCGGUGUUAGAGGUGAAAUUCUUGGAUCGCCGCAAGACGAACAACUGCGAAAGCAUUUGCAAGAAUGUUUUCAUUAAUCAAGAACGAAAGUCAGAGGUUCGAAGACGAUCAGAUACCGUCCUAGUUCUGACCAUAAAAAACGAUGCCAACUGGCGAUCCGAGAUCGUUUGCUUAUUGACCUCUCGGGCAGCCUCCGGGAAACCAAAGUUUUUAGGUUCCGGGGGGAAGUAAUGGUUGCAAAGCUGGAACUUAAAGGAAUUGACGGAAGGCACACACACCAGGAGUGGAGCCUGCGGCUUUAAUUUGACUCAACACGGGAAAACUCACCCGGCCCGGACACUGUUAGGAUUGACAGAUUGAUAGCUCUUUCUUGAUUCGGUGGUGGUGGUGCAUGGCCGUUCUUAGUUGGUGGAGCGAUUUGUCUGGUUUAAUUCCGAUAACGAACGAGACUCUAGCCUGCUAAAUGUAGUACGCCGAUACCUUUUCGUCGGUGCUGACUUCUUAGAGGGACAAGCGUCUUGAAGACGCACGAGAUUGAGCAAUAACAGGUCUGUGAUGCCCUUAGAUGUUCGGGGCCGCACGCGCGCUACACUGAAGGGGACAGCGAGUUUUUCCUGGUUCGAAAGAACCGGGUAAUCUGUUGAAUUCCCUUCGUGACAGGGAUCGGGGCUUGCAAUUAUUCCCCGUGAACGAGGAAUUCCCAGUAAGCGCAAGUCAUCAGCUUGCGUUGAUUACGUCCCUGCCCUUUGUACACACCGCCCGUCGCUACUACCGAUUGAAUGGUUUAGCAAGGUCCUCGGAUUGGUGCCGACUUGGUGGCAACACUAGGUCGGAUACUGAAAAGAAGAUCAAACUUGAUCAUUUAGAGGAAGUAAAAGUCGUAACAAGGUUUCCGUAGGUGAACCUGCGGAAGGAUCAUUA
rnacentral:ncRNA from 1 species